UCUCCAUUUCAUAUCACUUUUUUUCCUUUUCUUUUCAACCCCAGGCAAUCAGUGGUAAGAGACUUGCCCGGGGUCACACAAUUAUUAAGUGUCAAGUAUCUGAAACUGGAUUUGAACUCAGGUCCUCCUGACUCCAGAGCCAGCACUCUAUCUGUUGUUUACCUAGUUGCCCCUUGCUUUCUUUUAUUUUUUGUACUAUUUUUUUCCAAAUACAUGCAAAGAUAAUUUUCAAUAUUCACCUUUGCCAAAUCUCAUGUUCCAAAUUUUUCUCUCUCUCUUUCCCCCUUGCCUCUCCCCAAACAAUCCAAUAUAGGUAACCCUUGCUUUCUUUUAAAUUUAAAUUUUUUUAUUUUUAUUAUUUUUGAUUUAUUUUGCUGAGGCAAUUGGGGUUAAGUGACUUGCCCAGGGUCACACAGCUAAAAGGUGUUAAGUAAAUUCAUAUUUGAACUCAGAUCCUUCUGACUUCAGGGCUGGUACUCCAACCACCAGCUGCCCCACCCUUGCUUUCUUUUAACAGACAAACAUAAUGAAUUCUUCAUGUUACUUUCAAUGCUUUCCUGUUUGUCUGUACUUCCUUCUGAACUUGCUUCUCUUCCCUCCUGCACAUUUUAAAAAUAUUUCAAAAUAACCUUUUUUUCUUGACAUCAUUAUUGCUAAACCCUCCCUUUUCCCCUCAAACCUUUCCCACUCCUAAUUAAAAGCCCAGAAAAAGAAAAACAUCCCUGUAACAAACAAACAUCCUCAAGCAGAAUGAAUGCCCUCUGAGGCCAUGUCCAAAAAAGUCUCUUUCUUCCCUUUUAUGUCCAUUACUUCUGGGGAAGGGUCAGAGAGGACGGGAAGGUAGCACAAUUCAUUCCAAAUCAGUCUUUAUUCAUUGCACUGAUUAAUAUUGUUGAAGCUUGUUUGUAUAAACUAUUCUCCUGCUUCUGCUCACUUCAUUCUGCAUCAGUUAUUCUCUGAAAUUGCCUCUUUGGUCAUUUCUUAUACUGUGAUAAUUUUCCAUUAUGAUCUUUUUUUAAAAAAAUUCAUUUUAUUAUUGGUUUAUUUUUAUUUUCAAAGCACAUACAUAGAUAGUUUUCAACAUUCACCCUUGCAAAACCUCAUGUUCUAAUUUUUUUUUCUCCCUGCCUUCCUUCCAUUCUCCCCUAAAUGCAAGCAAUCCAAUAUAUAUUAAACAUGUGCAAUUUUUCUAUAACAUUUCUACAAUGAUCAUGCUGCACAAGAAAAAAAAUCUGAUCAAAAAGGAAAAAAAUGAGAAAGAAACAAUGCAAGUAAACAACAACAACAAAAAAGUGAAAAUACUAUGCCUUGAUCCACACGCAGUUCCCACAGUACUUUGUCUGGAUGCAGAUGGCUCUCUCCAUCAUGAGACCAUUAGAACUGGGCUGAAUCCUCUCAUUGUUGGAAAGAGCCACGUCCAUCAGAAUUGAUCAUCAUAUAAUCUUCUUGUUGCCGUGUACAAUGAUCUCCUGGUUCUGCUCAUUUUACUCAGCAUCAGUUCAUGUCAGUCUCUCCAGGCCUUUCUGAAAUCAUCCUGCUGGUCAUUUCCUAUAGAACAAUAAUAUUCCAUAACAUCCAUAUGCCAUCACUUAUUCAGCCAUUCUCCAAUUGAGGGGCAUCCACUCAGUUUCCAGUUUCUUGCCACUACAAAAAGAACUGCCACAAACAUUUUUGCACACAUAGGUUCUUUUUCCUUUUUUAGGAUCCCUUUGUCAUUUUGUUCUUACGCUGUUCCUCAAGUGAUGGGCAUCCCUUUAUAUUCUAGCUCUUUGCUUUUUUCCUCCCUCCUCCCCUUUUGACAGCCC
rnacentral:lncRNA from 1 species